rnacentral:rRNA from 1 species
GUCGAACGCUGGCGGCGUGCUUAACACAUGCAAGUCGAACGGAAAGGCCCUGCUUGCAGGGUACUCGAGUGGCGAACGGGUGAGUAACACGUGGGUGAUCUGCCCUGCACUUCGGGAUAAGCCUGGGAAACUGGGUCUAAUACCGGAUAGGAGCCAUUUUUAGUGUGAUGGUUGGAAAGUUUUUUCGGUGUAGGAUGAGCUCGCGGCCUAUCAGCUUGUUGGUGGGGUAAUGGCCUACCAAGGCGGCGACGGGUAGCCGGCCUGAGAGGGUGGACGGCCACAUUGGGACUGAGAUACGGCCCAGACUCCUACGGGAGGCAGCAGUGGGGAAUAUUGCACAAUGGGCGCAAGCCUGAUGCAGCGACGCCGCGUGGGGGAUGACGGCCUUCGGGUUGUAAACUCCUUUCGCUAGGGACGAAGCUUUUUGUGACGGUACCUAGAUAAGAAGCACCGGCUAACUACGUG